rnacentral:rRNA from 1 species
GAUGAACGCUGGCGGCGUGCUUAACACAUGCAAGUCGAACGGAAAGGCUCCUGCUUGCAGGGGUACUCGAGUGGCGAACGGGUGAGUAAAACGUGGGUGAUCUCCCCUGCACUUCGGGAGAAGACUGGGAAACUGGGUCUAAUACCGCAUAGGACGUUGGGUUGGAUGCCAUUGUGGAAAGUAUGACGGUGUGGGAUGGGCUCGCGGCCUACCAGCUUGUUGGUGGGGUAAUGGCCGACCAAGCCGUCGACGGGUAGCCGGCCGGAGAGGGUGGACGGCGACAUUGGUCCUGAGAUACGGACCAGUCUGCAACGGUCGGCAGCAGUGGGGAAUAUUGCACAGUGGGCGCGAGCCUGAUGCAGCGACCUCGCGUGGGGAAUGACCUCCUUCUGGUUAUGAACACCUUUCGCUAGGGACGAAGCGAAAGUGACGGUACCUAGAGAAGAAGCACCGGCUAACUACGUG